rnacentral:pre_miRNA from 1 species
GGGGAGAGGCUGGAUCCUGGGCUGUGUCCCGGCACCCUGCGCUCCUGGUCUGCACUGUUGGAUUCGCGCUCCCGGCCGUGCAGCCCCCU